UCUCUCUGCCUUUUGUAGGAGAUCUCAUUUCAGUUUUGUAUCCAUUUGUACGUGCCUUUUGCAAACACAUAAUUCUUUUACCUUCGUAGAAUCUUGCAGGAAUACCUCGAUCACCAGUUACAUGCCAAAACUUGAUAUUGGAGGCAAGAAUGAAAAAAAAGCGAAAAGAAUAAAAAAAAGGAGAAGAAGAAGAAGAAAGAAAAGAAUAAGGAAGAUGAGAA
rnacentral:lncRNA from 1 species